rnacentral:rRNA from 1 species
CAGUCGCCGCGGGAAUACCGAGGGUGCAAGCGUUAAUCGGAAUUACUGGGCGUAAAGCGCGCGUAGGUGGUUUGUUAAGUUGGAUGUGAAAGCCCCGGGCUCAACCUGGGAACUGCAUCCAAAACUGGCAAGCUAGAGUACGGUAGAGGGUGGUGGAAUUUCCUGUGUAGCGGUGAAAUGCGUAGAUAUAGGAAGGAACACCAGUGGCGAAGGCGACCACCUGGACUGAUACUGACACUGAGGUGCGAAAGCGUGGGGAGCAAACAGGAUUAGAUACCCCUGUAGUCCCUGUCUCUUAUAC